UUGUUUCAAUUCUCUUCAUCUUCUUACACUUUUUACCCAAAUCUUCUUCAAGCUCAACUUGGGUAUCCAUCUUCCUUAUACCUCUUCGUCUCUUUUGUGCUCAAACUGGGUAUAAUUAACAGGAAUUGCACUGGAACAAAGAUUCAAUUGAUCAAGAUGUCACCUACAACUCCAAGAGUAACUUCAAAGUCGCGGAAGGGAAGGUAAACUUGACUAGACACUUAUGUUGUUCGGAUUUCACACCACCAUUCAUGUCGGUAUUUGAUUCGGGUGCACAUUUAGUGGUUGAAUUGUUCAUCACAUAAAUUUAGGAUUGAAAAGAAAGGAUUCGAGUGCGGUACGAGUGCUGUGAUAGGACAAAUAAAUGUAUAUUACGACAUAUAAAUCAAAAUACAAAUGCCAGGAUCACGGUUUCACAUGCUGUCUGUUCUUGAUGAAAGGUGCAUUUCAAUUUCUCUGGAACAAGUCCAGUGUUUCCCAUGCCACCUCCGUGUUUUAUUAUAAUUCAGAUCUGCAAAGGUGAUGAUUAAUGAGAAGCCAAAAAAGUGCAAAUGAAAUCUGAAGUCAAGUGUAAGAGGUGGUCACUCAUGAUGAGAAACUCAAGAAGAUGAGGGAGCUCAAAAGAAGGAAUAAAAAUUUUGGUUCAAU